CCUGAGAGGACGGGGAGAAAUCCCCGUUUAAAGGACAAGUCAAGUCUCAAGUCCUG
rnacentral:ribozyme from 1 species